rnacentral:lncRNA from 1 species
GGCUCUGAUUCUGGCGGAGGGCCAUGUCCAUUAGCACACUACUGUCAGGCUGGCAGUGCCACCCCAAUGCCUUGCCCAGCAGGCACAUAUGCCAACAUGACAACCCAGGUCAACUGCAACCUCUGCCAUGCAGGCUACUACUGCCCUGAAAGAACCAGCAUCUACUCCAAAUUCCCCUGCCCAUCUGGAUUCUAUUGCCCAGAUGGUACCAGCUCAUUGCUCAUUUCUGCUAAGACACAUUUUCAAAAACGUGCUUCUGACUGGCAUCCCUGCAUUUUCCCUUUCUAUCCAGGUACCAAGUAUGCCACACAGUUCCCAUGCCCCCGAGGUUAUUACAACCCAGAGCCCAUGACCCAUAGUCUGGACAGCUGCUUGCCCUGCCCCCCCGGUCACUACUGUGAAAAGGAGAGACUGACCACAGUGUCUGGGAAGUGCAAGGCUGGUUGGUUUUGUGUAUCUGCUGCCUGGACAUCACAGCCAUUCGAUCUGGAUAACUACACCAACGCAAACUGUCUGUGUCCUGCCACCUCCACUGGGGGGCGCUGCCAAGAGGGCUUCUUCUGCCCCACAGGAAGCUCUGAGCCCCAGCCAUGCCCACCUGGCACUUUCUGCAACACUACCAGCCUGGCAUUGCCCAGUGGCCCCUGUACUCCUGGCUACUACUGCAUAGGAGGUGCAGUUCACCCAAAACCACUUGAUGGCAUCACAGGCAACAUCUGUCCUCCAGGGACCUACUGUGGUAUUGUUAUAUUGGCACUAGCACAGUAUACAAUACUGACACAAUUACAUAAA